UACGAAGGGGGCUAGCGUUGCUCGGAAUGACUGGGCGUAAAGGGCGCGUAGGCGGAUGGUACAGUCAGAUGUGAAAUUCCCGGGCUUAACCUGGGGGCUGCAUUUGAUACGUGUUGUCUAGAGUGAGGAAGAGGGUCGUGGAAUUCCCAGUGUAGAGGUGAAAUUCGUAGAUAUUGGGAAGAACACCGGUGGCGAAGGCGGCGACCUGGUCCUUUACUGACGCUGAGGCGCGAAAGCGUGGGGAGCAAACAGG
rnacentral:rRNA from 1 species